GUGGUAUCCUGUCUGAAUAUGGGGGGACCAUCCUCCAAGGCUAAAUACUCCUGACUGACCGAUAGUGAACCAGUACCGUGAGGGAAAGGCGAAAAGAACCCCGGCGAGGGGAGUGAAAAAGAACCUGAAACCGUGUACGUACAAGCAGUGGGAGCACGCUUAGGCGUGUGACUGCGUACCUUUUGUAUAAUGGGUCAGCGACUUAUAUUCUGUAGCAAGGUUAACCGAAUAGGGGAGCCGAAGGGAAACCGAGUCUUAACUGGGCGUUAAGUUGCAGGGUAUAGACCCGAAACCCGGUGAUCUAGCCAUGGGCAGGUUGAAGGUUGGGUAACACUAACUGGAGGACCGAACCGACUAAUGUUGAAAAAUUAGCGGAUGACUUGUGGCUGGGGGUGAAAGGCCAAUCAAACCGGGAGAUAGCUGGUUCUCCCCGAAAGCUAUUUAGGUAGCGCCUCGUGAAUUCAUCUCCGGGGGUAG
rnacentral:rRNA from 1 species